ensembl:lncRNA
AUGUCUGGACUGUUGAGGCUUUCUCUAAAUGUAAAAGUUACUGACUUUAGGGAUCUGUUUUCAGAAAAGCUGCCCCAGCUCCCACUCCCCUUCAGGAGAAGAGAAAAGGAGAUGUAUAUUGCCUUAAGCUUGGACCAUGCUAUGACAAACCUGCCAUGUCCAAGGAGAGAUCUUGGCAGAGGAAAAGACUAUAAAUCUUCACACAUACAUUUCUCCAAGAUGAAAUUGCAAGACCACCAAAGCCUGGAAAAAGAAAGUGAAAUGAAGAUGACUGUUCCCUUUUUUCCUGCAACUGCCAUUAUUCAGAAUAUUAAAUAAGAAAUCUGACAGAUGGAAAUAUUUAGAUUGGAACCCAGAGAGAAGAUGCGAUAUUAUCAAAAUGGACUCUACUCUACUUACUAAAAGUCUCCAAUGCCUCUAUUAUAACAGCAACAGGCAGAGUUACUCUAAUGAAAAACAUUAUAUUUUACAUUUAUAUGGGACAGUGGAAACCAAAGUUUAAAACCACAAAUUACUUUAUAUGCAAUAUUUUAAAAUUGGGGUUUGAAGUGUCCAGAUUUGAAGAAAUAUUGGAUAUUUUGAACAGAAUUUAUUAUCCAGGGGAAAGGAGACAUUGACAUUCAGACAGUUUUACUCUACUGAAAGAUCUCAUAAGAAAAAAAGUCAUUGUGGAGUAUAUAAUCAUCAGAUAUGGGUCAAAUAAUCAAAGAUAUAAAAUAUUGGGAAUUAAUUUUCUUUUAAAUUAGAUUUUGCUAAAUUUCUUGCUUAGACUGACUUCAAAAUGCAAUCUCAUUAUUGACGAUUUAUUUGUAAGCUGAAUAAAAAAAUAUUUCUGGAAAUUAAUUUUAUCAAAUCUGAAUUAUACCCUUGCUUUUAGUAAAGAACAUGUUUUAACAGGAGACAAAAUAGCAGCAGAUUUACUGACAUAAUUAGUAGUUACAGCAAUCUGACUUUACCUUAAUGGUCAUGGUUACAGAUCAUCUACACUGCUACAUUGUGCUGUUUGAGACUGAGGCAAACAUCAUUAUCCUAUUCAAUCUCAUGGUGAUGAAUGAAAUAGUAUGGAGCACUUCAAAAUGGUAAAUGUUAAGGAACAUAAGAAAGUUGUAUUAUUUUGUUCUUCACCAUAUAAAAUGUACCCCACUGCCUUUGAAGUAGUUUCAUCUGAAAACAUUUUAAACAAAAAACUCUAAUAGAUGAUGUGUCUGAAAGUCCUGUCCUCACUCAAAUAUGGCAUUAGAAAAUGCCAGUCAUGCUGAACACUUCAUCUCCCAGAGCAGUACAUCUGGUACUUGCCAUUCCUGGGCUGUCACAGACAUUUCCUCUCUAGCAGAAUUCAUCUGCAACAGGACCAGUAUCUAAGAGGUUUAUUAAUAAAAGAUUAUACCACCACCGUAUUCUCUUUGUAUUCAUAUAAAUAAUUGAGGCAUAAAGGAAUUCCCUCAUCCUUUCUACAGACUUGAAAAAAAAACAUAUAGUGCAAUGUCAAAGAAGCUCAUGGCAAAUCAAUCUCUUCUUACAUUCUCUUAUUAAAGACACAUGAUAAGCUACUGAAGUAGAGUGAAAAAGAUUGCUGGAACAAUCAGAUACAGGAUACAAAGAGACAACACAGACACAAUAUCCAGAAAGGAAACAAGAGGAAGUAAGUGAUUGUAUUGAUGUUAAUGCUGGUCAGAAGGUAAAUACGUUUUAUGAAACAUUUUACAGUCUUUCUCUGUUUGAAGUAAAAUUAAGUCUCUUUUAUGGAAAGUGUGCCCCAAAACACAGAAAGAGCUCAGCUCAGCAGCUUGUCUGUGAUGUGAGGCUUGAAAGUUUCUUUCAUGCUAAGUCACAGCAGAGCCUUGGCUGGGUCUGUGCUCUAUCCUGGGGGUUUGGAUGUUCUAUUCUUAGUUCUGAAUUUGAAAAAAAUCAAAAAGAAUCAUGAUGAAUGAAACCCAUGAAACCCAUUUUCCAAAAAGUUUCAGAACCAAAUUCCAUUGCUAUAAUUUUAUCAAUUUCAAAUGAGCUAUUCUGAUUUGUACAACUAAAACAGAGAGAGAAACUUCAUAUAUUAUUGGUGACAGCUAGCUAUUUCCUCUUCUUGUUCAUCAUCUUCCUGUCACUUUAGAAAUCAUCUGAAUUAAAUCUUCAAGCAAAGUCAUUUUCCAUUUUUUAACUUUUCUUUCAUUGCACCUUAGUCUAAGGAAGCACUGUACAAAACUGCAGGAUUGCAGAUGCUGAUUGCGGGAUGCCUGUAGCUUUUAAAAGAGGUUUCUAAAGGUCAAAGUCACCAACAUAUUUCCCAUUCUUGUAAAUAACCGCCACUUGUAUCAAUGGUCGAAGCUCACAUGCCUGAUUAAAGCCUCUGAGUAACUGCAAUUAUAUGUCAUAGUUACCCUGGCACAGUCACAUCUGACAAAGCUACAAAUCAGUUCAUCAUGAAGGACAUGCCUGACAAUUUUAAUUAGAUGUCAAUUUGCAAAGGCAGUCAGGAGAAGUUAUUAUCUCCUACAAAAGGAAUGAAACUAGAGAAAGGCCUGAGCAUCAGAACCAGUCAAAUUCACAUUCCAUAAAAGUAAUGGACAAUAUUUUCAUGUAUAAUUCCUGUAUGUAUAAAAAGGUCCAUAAAUAGGUAACAUCAUGCCAUCACACUGGUUAGUGGUUAAUGGUCAGUUGACCAUUAACUCAAUUCCACUGCUAAAUAAAGAUAGAUUAAAAACCUGACAGAGAGGAAGGAUGGCCUUCAGACUACUCAAAACAAGUGUUUCAAGGUCUUUUUAGACUCAAGCAGUUUUAACAGUAAUCUCUGACUACUGUUAAAAAGGAACAGCAACAAGGAUGAAGCCAUUAAAUAUCUGUUCAUUAACAUGGAACGAUUUUUAGACUUUUACAUGAAAACUGGCUACUGUAUUACAGGAAAUGUUGCAUGUUUAAAUAAUAUAUAUAUAUAAGGUCAAUCCUCUAUUACUAAUAUAAGCAUUCUAACAAGCAGUAUAAUAAUUCACUGUGUUUGUAGUUUCAUUGGUUUGGGAAAAAAAAUAAAAAAAAAUAAAAAAUUCCUGUGUCAGAAAAAAACUUACCCUACUAAUUAACAGUUCAUCCUGUAAUUUUGUUGCCAAACUCCCUUACAAACGUAUUUAUAAACCGCUUCUACUGUGUGUUUCAUAUCAUACUUUGUGUACCUUACUCUACUGAUGUACAUUACGCUUACAUUAUUUUCAUUUUAUAGUGUCCCCAAAGCAUAGAAAUAUUAAUGUGAUUGAAGUAUCUUAACAAACAGCCUGACUUCACUGAUUUCUGGGAAGAUUAAGCUGUCUUAAAGUAUUCCCAUUCUGUAAUUACAAAAGUUAUAUACUAAUACAAGAAUACUAAGUCAACUGCUUACACAAUUCCAUUAAGAAGUGCUGAUCCUCUAAUAAAGCAGAACCUUUCAAACACUUAAUUUGUUCCAACAUCUACAAUAUGAGUACUUGUUAUAAAAACAAAUAUAACAUUCAGUUGGGAUCUUCACAAGCAUAAUUGUUGUGUGUUUGGUUUUUUUGUUGUUGUUCGUAUAUUUCCAUAGUCAUUAGUGCCAAAAGACUUAAUAAAACAUACAAAUUCCACAAGAGAUUAAAAAUUCAAUAUUCAAUAUCCAUUAGUUUCUUUAAAAUCAUGAAUACAUAGAAGUUUCAUUUUAAUAAGAACACAAGGAAUCAAGAUAUUGUACAAGGAUAAGGUAGCUUAAAGAGUAUUUUUGCUCUACAAACCAGAUCAGUCAAGAUUUGUCUACUAAAUAAUGCCACUACUAUAAUAGAUAGUUGAGAAACCAGUAAACAACAAAUUACAGCAUUUCAGCAUUUCCAAUAGUACAACUAUUCUGCAAGGCUACAAAUGUUCUAAAUCACAUUAAAAAGUUUCUAAAGGGCUAUAUAUAUAUGUAUAUACAUAUAUUGUAUAUAUAUAUAUAUAUAUAAACAAAAAAUGUAGUGUGCCAAGAGCACCAUCUUUGUUACUUCAUCAUCCAGCUGCAUGACAGCCCCUUUGCUGUCUUCUAGUCUCACCUGUAGAUUUUUUCUGCUGUCUCUCCCACCUGCCUCUGGGUUCACUUCUCCUCUAGGGAAUUAUAAAUCAAACUAUAGUAUAUAUAAUUCCCUUCUGGCAACAAAAAAUAAAAAAAAUAAUAAUAAAACAAACAAACAAACAAAACUUAUCGAGAUCUUUAUAAAGCCUCAGGCACUAUGGAAAAGCUAGAAUGCAAGGCUAUGCAAGGCUAGAAAAUGCCUCAGGCUCAUGGCAAAGGUCAGCAUGUGAAAAUGUAGACUUGUGUUAUGGAAACUGAAGAGAAGAGGCAUUUCCAGGACUCAGAGGACUGCAGUUAGGACAGUUAGUUCCUCCAUGCUGAAGGAGGACGCAGAAGUUAGUUUGUCACCUGAGAUCUCAGAAAAGCCCCUCACAGGGAGAGAUGCCAUUUUUAAUAAAUAUAGUAGGUCAGAUAUUGAGUCAUUGGUGAAACUGAAAAUUGCAGUGGUCUUUGUGAAGAACACAUUUUCUUCUGUGUGGAGAAAAAAAAAAGAAAAAAAAAAAAAAAGAAAACCUUUAGGUGGUCUAUUCAUUUAGUCCUUAGGAAUUGAAUGAAAAAAAUAAAAAAAUAACCCACUUUUUUUUUUUUUUUUUUAAGUUAUCUGACAUAAGGUUUAGAACUACUUACUUGUCAUUGAACUAGAUAAAAAAAAAAAAAAAAAAGUUCUUCAAAGAAAUCUGAAAGAAACUCAAAGAAAAGGUAUCUUCAAAUAAAUGUGGAAAAGUUAUAUCUUCCAGUCCAACAAGAUUUAAAAAGGUGCAUAUGCUACUUUCGUGAGGAUUUGAUAAUGAUCAAGCAAAUGAACCCCUCUAGAAAUUUUAUCGCUUGAUAUACCUGCACUCCAGAAUCUACACCUCAGUAAUACAGUCAUAGAAUCAUAGAAUAUCACCAGUUGGAAGGUGAUCCUUCUACACAAGGAUCAUCAAGUUGAACUCCUGGUUCCCAACAGGAGCACCCAAAAAUCAAACCCUAUGUCUGAGAGCACUGUCCAAAUGCUUCUUGAACACCAGCAGGCUCAGUGCCAUGACCACUACCUUGGGG